rnacentral:tmRNA from 1 species
GGGACCGUUUGGUUUUGACAGCAAGAUGAAGCGAAACGGCAAGCACGUCGAGGUGGGCGGAGGACCUCGUUAAUAAUCGGCCGCAAGCCAUUAAACGGCAACAAUUAUAACUACGCCAUGGCUGCCUGACCCAGAGGGUUACGCAGUGGCUGCUCUCGGUAAAGCCCCGACAUUCGGCUCGUGCCAAUGAGAGUAUCGGUUGAAAGGAUGUUCGAUUAAAGCAGUUUCUUCGUGGCUUUAACCGUAUUUUGAAGAUAAGGGCAAAAUUGGGCGUUGCAGCCCUGUUUUUCCUCGAAAAUCAAUCUGCAACUAAACGUGUAGAAAACCUUUUUACUCCUUGUUUGGACGGCGGUUCGACUCCGCCCGGUUCCACUA